rnacentral:rRNA from 1 species
AUUGAACGCUGGCGGCAGGCUUAACACAUGCAAGUCGAGCGAGCGGCGGACGGGUGAGUAAUGUCUGGGAAACUGCCUGAUGGAGGGGGAUAACUACUGGAAACGGUAGCUAAUACCGCAUACCAUCAGAUUUUCCCAGAUGGGAUUAGCUAGUAGGUGGGGUAAUGGCUCACCUAGGCGACGAUCCCUAGCUGGUCUGAGAGGAUGACCAGCAAGAAGGGAACUGAGACAAGGACCAGACUCCGACGGAAGGCAGCAGUGGGGAAUAUUGCACAAUGGGCGCAAGCCUGAUGAAGCAAGGCCGCGUGUGUGAAGAAGGCCUUCGGGUUGUAAAGCACUUUCAGCGAGGAGGCGUUACUAGCAGAAGAAGCACAGGCUAACUCCGUGCCAGCAGCCGCGGUAAUAC